rnacentral:rRNA from 1 species
GAUGAACGCUAGCGGCAGGCCUAAUACAUGCAAGUCGAGGGGUAACAGUUACUUCGGUAAGCUGACGACCGGCGCACGGGUGCGUAACGCGUAUGAAACCUACCUAUUACAGGCGAAUAGCCCGAGGAAACUCGGAUUAAUGCGCCAUGGUACUAUUUUGAGGCAUCUCUAGAUAGUUAAAGCUCCGGCGGUAAUAGAUGGUCAUGCGUCCCAUUAGCUAUUAAGUGAGGUAACGGCUCACUUAGGCGACGAUGGGUAGGGGUUCUGAGAGGAAGAUCCCCCACACUGGUACUGAGAUACGGACCAGACUCCUACGGGAGGCAGCAGUAGGGAAUAUUGGUCAAUGGGCGCGAGCCUGAACCAGCCAUGCCGCGUGUAGGAAGACGGCCUUCUGGGUUGUAAACUACUUUUCUACGGGAAGAAAACGGAUCUGCGGAUCCUCUUGCCGGUACCGUAGGAAUAAGCACCGGCUAACUCCG